UUUUUUAAUGAUUUAAUCAAAUUAUCUUUAAAAGGAAAAUAAUUUAUUAUAUAUAAAAAUCAGAAUCCGCCAAAUCACAACAGCAAGGUGCGAGGAGGAGAAGCAGAAGCAUAGUAUUAUGGGAAGAGAAUAGCUGGAUUUCAGAGAAGACGACGCAGGAGACUCUGGAUUUCAGGCCAACCUCUUUACUCAUUUCUUAACUACCUAACUUAAACCCUUAGCCUUAUCUCUAUCUCUACCAAUUUUUUCUUGCUUUCGUUUUAUUAACAUUGGCGAAUUCUGUUCUGGUUUAUGCAAAUUCAUUCGCUUUCAAGUUUCAGUACCGCCAAAACAAGAGAGGUUGAUUUAGGAAUUUGAAUACAAGGUAAUAUGGAUACGACGUCGUCUGUUCGAUCCAUUGAUCAGGCUAUCGAAGAGAUCAUGAGAAUUCACAGAUCGUUACCGACGAGACCUGGGAUCGAUGAGGUGGAAGCUGCCAAGACGUUGAUUCUAAAUGUUGACAAAGAAGACCAGGCGAGACUUGAAUCCAUUUCCAGGCAAACCAAGAGCCCUGAUGUACCCCAAGAGCUCUUUACAAUCUUGCAGGAGAUGCAGAAGAAUUUGGUUUAUUUCCAGAGCAAGGAGCAGAAGAGGGAGGCUAUGAAAUUGCUCGAUCUCGAAAGUGUUCACGCUCUGUUUGAUGAAUUUAUCCAGAGAGCUUCCAAAUGCUUGCAUUCUACUUCAACUUUGUCCUCUUCUUCCUCCUCCAACGGCUCUGCUUCUACAGUUUCUUGCAGCGGUUUCUCUAGGGCCACUGCGCCAACUUCCGUUAACAAAUCUUCUAUUACUGCACCAUCGAACUUAUAUUAUUCUGAGAAAAAUCCUGCGAGGCCUGCGGAAUUUUUUACCCGAGACGAUAGUUAUGUGAAGAAGGCCAAGUCGUCCUUUUACUCUGAUGGAACUGGCGUUUCGUCCAUGCCCCAUAUAGUGGAUUCCACUCUGAAAACGACUGUAACUACUACAGGACAAGAUGGUGACAAGUUGAGUCUAAUAAAGCUUGCUAGUUUAAUUGAAGUCUCUGCCAAGAAAAACACUCGAGAUCUCAAUCUCCAAAACAAAUUGAUGGAUCAGAUUGAAUGGCUACCUGAUUCAAUAGGCAAGUUGUCAACGUUGGUUUCCCUAGAUUUGUCUGAGAACAGGAUAGUGGCCCUCCCAGCCACUAUUGGAGGCCUUUCGUCCUUGACAAAGUUGGAUUUGCAUUCUAACAGAAUUGCUGAACUCCCAGAAUCUAUUGGAGAUCUUCUUAGCCUAGUCUUUUUGGACCUUAGGGCUAACCAGCUAUCAUCUCUGCCUGCUACCUUUGGCAGAUUGGUACGCCUUCAGGAGCUUGAUUUGAGCUCAAAUCGGCUCUCUUUGCUUCCUGAGUCUAUUGGUUCACUUAUUAGCUUGAAGAAGCUAAAUGUGGAGACCAAUGAUAUUGAAGAACUUCCUCACACAAUUGGCCGAUGUUCUUCACUAAGGGAGCUUUAUGCAGAUUAUAACAGGCUUAAGGCACUCCCAGAAGCUGUAGGAAAGAUAGAAACCUUAGAGGUUUUGUCUGUGCGUUAUAAUAACAUCAAACAGCUACCUACAACUAUGUCAUCUCUAUCAAACCUGAAGGAGCUCGAUGUGAGUUUCAAUGAGCUUGAGUCAGUGCCUGAGAGCUUGUGUUUUGCCACCUCACUUGUCAAGAUGAAUAUAGGAAACAAUUUUGCUGAUUUACAGUCCCUUCCAAGAUCUAUUGGGAACCUUGAGAAUCUCGAAGAGCUGGAUAUUAGCAACAACCAGAUACGAGCUCUUCCAGACUCUUUCCGGAUGCUAACACGACUACGUGUCCUACGUGUGGAAGAAAAUCCUUUGGAAGUGCCACCAAGACAUAUCGCUGAAAAAGGUGCUCAGGCUGUUGUUCAAUACAUGGUUGAGCUUGUUGAAAAGAGGGAUGUGAAGACACAAGUCAUGAAGCAGAAAAAGAGUUGGGCUCAGAUCUGCUUCUUUUCAAGGUCUAACAAAAGGAAGCGCAAUGGUAUGGACUAUGUGAAAGCUUGAUUGCACAAAUAUAACAAGACGAUGACAGGACCUUGAUGUUGGGGAUUUAACAGUUUAUAAAGCCUGAGAUCCUAAUGCAACUAAAAAUCCAUCCAUCAAACAGGGGACUCGGUUUGUAAAUCAUGGCUCUUACUCUUGCUUCUUAAACUGUAGAUUUACAUUUUUUUCCCUCCUUUUAUUAUUUUUGUACUGUAUUAAUUGGUUCCAAUUUUACUUGAUUUGUAUCUGUUGUUCUUGAACUGUAAUGAGGUGUACAAUUCAGCCGGCAGAUAGGAGAGGAAGAAUAUACGGUUUUCUGUGUCCCUCAUUGUUACGGGUGACUUUCUCCGCCAUUCAUUCAGACUAUGACAAUGCAAAUUAUGUAUACAGACAUUCAUGGCCUAGUAGUAGAAGGCAUUAUCAAUUUGCCAUUCAUAUUUCAUUUGCUAAUAGCUAUACUUCACUGUGCCUUUCUUUCUUGCUGGAAAAGAUCGUGAUGUUGGUGUUCCGUGCAUUUUGAUUUUAGACUCUUUUUUAAGUCGUGAGGAAAAAAAAAAAGAUGUUACAAGGCAAAUCAGUUAUUUCUUGUUUCCUUUACAA